CCUACGGGUGGCAGCAGUGAGGAAUAUUGGUCAAUGGACGAGAGUCUGAACCAGCCAAGUAGCGUGAAGGAUGACUGCCCUAUGGGUUGUAAACUUCUUUUAUAUGGGAUUAAAACGUUCCACGUGUGGGAUUUUGUAUGUACCAUAUGAAUAGGGAUCGGCUAACUCCGUGCCAGCAGCCGCGGUAAUACGGAGGAUCCGAGCGUUAUCCGGAUUUAUUGGGUUUAAAGGGAGCGUAGGUGGAUUGUUAAGUCAGUUGUGAAAGUUUGCGGCUCAACCGUAAAAUUGCAGUUGAAACUGGCAGUCUUGAGUACAGUAGAGGUGGGCGGAAUUCGUGGUGUAGCGGUGAAAUGCUUAGAUAUCACGAAGAACUCCGAUUGCGAAGGCAGUUCACUGGACUGCAACUGACACUGAGGCUCGAAAGUGUGGGUAUCAAACAGGAUUAGAUACCCCUGUAGUC
rnacentral:rRNA from 1 species